GGUCUUUGGAACUUUAUAAGUAGAAAAUUUGAAUAAAUAUCACUUUGAAUGUUUGCUCUCGAAGGAUUGAACUUGGCGCUUGGUCUUUGUGUGAACCAGAUCGAAUUACUACAACACGUGAUAUAUUCUAAGCAUGCUAAUUGGUUAAAACUCUGCAACUUCCACUUGUCGAAAAUUAUAUUCAGCAGAAUUCAGCAGCAGAACAUUCCACACGUUCAAAUUACAGAUUUAGGCCAGCAAAUAAAUAAUAUAGAUGACUCGCCGACAAUUUCUGGCUACAUUCGAUCGCCGCGUGCGAUUGAAGCCGAUAUACGGUAUAAUACAUCAAUGGCAUCAACCUGACUUGGCAACAUUCGAGUAACC